ACUCCUGCGGGAGGCAGCAGUGGGGAAUAUUGGACAAUGGGCGCAAGCCUGAUCCAGCCAUGCCGCGUGAGUGAUGAAGGCCCUAGGGUUGUAAAGCUCUUUCACCGGUGAAGAUAAUGACGGUAACCGGAGAAGAAGCCCCGGCUAACUUCGUGCCAGCAGCCGCGGUAAUACGAAGGGGGCUAGCGUUGUUCGGAUUUACUGGGCGUAAAGCGCACGUAGGCGGACUAUUAAGUCAGGGGUGAAAUCCCGGGGCUCAACCCCGGAACUGCCUUUGAUACUGGUAGUCUUGAGUUCGAGAGAGGUGAGUGGAAUUCCGAGUGUAGAGGUGAAAUUCGUAGAUAUUCGGAGGAACACCAGUGGCGAAGGCGGCUCACUGGCUCGAUACUGACGCUGAGGUGCGAAAGCGUGGGGAGCAAACAGGAUUAGAAACCCGAGUAGUCCAUGAU
rnacentral:rRNA from 1 species